AAUACGAGAUGAAGAAAACCGCAGUCUAGUGAUACCAUUAUCGUUCUCUUAAAUUUUCCUUCAAAAUUCGAGUUUAAAUCACAUUUUCCAUGGUUAUGUCUCUCUUUCUUCUUGAUCAUCACUUUAUUGUUUCCUUUAAAUAUUAUCGGCGUUUUCCUUUAUCUAAGUUCUUGAAGAUUCUUGUCCGGUUUGCAGUGUGCUGGAUGUCUGAUGAAGAAUCUUAAGUCCUUCAUUACAAAAGUGCGUUUGUGUUACGUCAUCAAAUCUGAUAAAAUUGUUUUUACCUAUUAAGCCCCGUACACACGGAGCAUCUUGAUGCGCGAUGUGUUGAAGCGACGAGUUGAAAAACGUUAAUUUCAACUCGUCGCUGCACCAUGAACACAAUCAUGACGCGGAGCCAUUUCAAAUCGCUGAGCAGUGUGUCAAUGACCGCUGAAGAAGAAGGACGCACGCGCUCUCUCUUCCGCCCUGCUUUCAUACAAUGGCUCAACCAACAAAGCCGUUCGAAUGGACGAAGUGUAUUACCUUACAUUUCAUUGAGUUGCUAAAGCAGCACCCAGUUAUUUGGAAUAUCAAGUGCAAGGAGUACAAGAUGAGAAAUAUCAAGAGUAUAAACAUGGAAACUCUAAAAGCUGACUUAUCUUCUUUUGUAAAUUGUAAUGUGCGGUAUGAAGACAUCACCAAAAAACUCCAUACACUGAAAACACAGUUUCACAGAGAAAUGACUGCCAUCAAUGCAUCAAAGAAGUCUGGUGCUGGCACGACAGAUGUAUACACUCCAAAGCUGUGGUGCUUUAAUGAUUUACUUUUCCUUGCUGAAGGAGAAAUCAUACGUACCUCAACUUCCAGUUUAGAUGUGGAAACUACUGAAAACCUUCGACAAGGGGAUGACCAUGUACUGGCAGCCAGUUACAACUUAGAUGGCGGAGGAAACACUCAACAAGUGAAUUGGCAACUGUGCUACGGAGCGAUGACUAAUCACUGGACAUCCCAUCGCCCCACUCUGUGCCAUCACCUGCACCCAGCGUGACAAAUGCAUCUUCAGUCAACCCUUCGCCGUCGCCUUCCAACCUUUCUGCCUGUAGUUCGAGUGGGACUUCAAAAAAGAGGAAGGCAGUUGACCAAACUGAUAAAGUUUUGGAAGUUGCUCUUAGUAAACUCUCAUCCCUUCCCAGUCAUGGAUGUAGAUCCAUAUCUCGACAGCAUAGCAGUUAGUUUAUAAUGGGCUUAAGAAUAUGAGUGAAGACCAGCGGAAAUUGGCCAGGAAGCUAAUAUUUGAUGCUCUAAGCAUGGGUGACAUGGGAGAUCUUACUAGGGAACAUCAGAUAUUGCGAGUAGUAGGUUCGGACAAUUUCAUGGCAUGAAAAGGUAGUUAAGUAUUUAGGUUACAGCAUAUUGCCGUACAAAGUACAAUUUUACAUAACUAUUAUGAACAUUUUUUUUUUCUUUUUGUUCAUGUGAUAUGUAAAAAUAAUAAAGGAAUGAAAACUAUCAGUACGUACUUUGUAUCCACCUUAUGAAACUCACCUUAAGAUAAUCCUCCCUUAGGACAUUAUAGAUGGCUGCACAGGUUUCAGGGAUGAUCAGACCGAGGCUCUGUUUUGAAAUUCUAGUGGAAUACUGGAGACUUGUGUAGGAUCCUCCAGCGGCAAGGAAGCGAAGUGUUGCUUCAAGACGAGCACCCGGUGGUAUGCUGUCUCGGAUGCCGGUGUCCUGCUUGCAAAUAUAUGGAUUUAUCUUUUUCAGCAAUUCAUGAAAUGCAGUGAAUGGCAUUCGCGUAUAAUUUUCAAAGUCUAUUUGAUUUUCUGCCAGUAGCUCAAGAAAUACUUGAUCAAAGCUCCCUCGCAGAGACCGCCGAGAAAGCCACUGUUUGCACCACAAAGUCCGACGUUUCUUUUUCAAAAGUUUUUUUUUAGCUGCACACACAGCAACUAUACUCCACAGUACAGUUUGUUCGCAGAGUAGAGUGUCGGCAUACAUACUUCUCCCGUGAAAGCCAAAUGAUGACUGAGAUCUGAUGGCUCACACAAGGAUGAGAUUCGCAGUGAUGCAGCCCGUUUGGACGCUAGUGUCAAUUUUUCAACACCACUACUGCAUCACGUCGCUGACACGUGAUGCUCCGUGUGUACGGGGCUUUAGUAUUCA